rnacentral:rRNA from 1 species
UUUACCUACGGGACGCAGCAGUGAGGAAUAUUAGUCAAUGGACGAGAGUCUGAACCAGCCAAGUAGCGUGAAGGAUGACUGCCCUAUGGGUUGUAAACUUCUUUUAUACGGGAAUAAAGUUUUCCACGUGUGGAAUUUUGUAUGUACCAUAUGAAUAAGGAUCGGCUAACUCCGUGCCAGCAGCCGCGGUAAUACGGAGGAUCCGAGCGUUAUCCGGAUUUAUUGGGUUUAAAGGGUGCGCAGGCGGAGGAUCAAGUCAGCGGUAAAAUUGAGAGGCUCAACCUCUUCGAGCCGUUGAAACUGGU